rnacentral:rRNA from 1 species
AUGAUGCAACAAAUCUGGUCCGUUGAUCAAGCACAAGCUCUAGCCUUAAAGGCCGAGAGGUUUGUGAGGAUGAGAAAGACAACUAAGGCUCCAUAUCCUCAUACCGAAGGCUCAUCUAGGAACCAACCUAAUAGAGUGGAAGAAAAGACCACUCCACCAAAGACAAAACAGCCCACCCCGAAGCAAAUUAGAGGCAAGGGUAAGGCAAAUGAAGGCCCAAAGUGCUAUAAAUGUGGUAAAGAGGGACACAUAUCCAGCGGUUGCCCACUAAGGAAAUUUGUUAACACGACUAUCCAUGAUGGUGAAAACGAUGAGGAAGAAUACGAAUCUGAAGAUGUAGACGGACAAGAGGUUUGUCAAGAAGAAGGUGAAGAGGUGGUAUGUGUGAUCCAGCGUGUCCUUGUUGGGUUUCGUAGUAAUUUCAAAAAUUUUCCUACGCACACACAGGAUCAUGUGAUGCAUAGCAACGAGGGGAGAGUGUUGUCUACGUACCCAACGCAGACCGACUGCGGAAGCGAUGACACGACGUAG